rfam:Pseudomonas balearica DSM 6083 genome assembly, contig: Ga0056079_103
GUCUGACACGGACCGACGGUGGCAGGUCUUGCCCCUUCAUUCGGUCGCGGUGCCAUGAC